rnacentral:lncRNA from 1 species
AAUGUGUUGAGCCAAUGUUCUGUAUUUAAGCAGAGGUGACUACACGUAUGAACUGCCAUUUGUUGCAAGUACUUUUCUGAGUAUAUGGACACUGCCUUUCUUUUGGACUAGUGGUCUUUCAGUGCUUAAGCCAGUACACAGUGCAAGAGGAACUUCAAGAAUGUGUUACACACAGUGAAGUUGUGUUUCCAGAAAAUGUUCUUCCUUAUAUGAUAAGGAUGUAAGGAUGUUGUAUAAGGAUGUAAAAGUGAACUUUAAAUUUAAAGCGAGUGAAAAAUGAAACUGAAGAAGGAGGUUUUGUGCUGACCUUAGACCAGACAUCUGCCAGAGGAGUCACCUAGUACAAGCUACAACCCCAUGCUCAUAGAUGAAAAUGCUUUGGAAAGAAAAGUGAUAAAUUGGUUCUGGGCCACUGGAUGAUUUUCCUCAUUGUUAUGAUCUGUUGGAUAGUAUACUUUGCAUCAGCAGUAUCAUACAGGAUGUUGGGAUGUGGUCAGCCUCUUCAAGAGAGGAAAAACCUGCAUACCUGAAAAAAGCUAGACCUAUGGUUCGAGUGCAUGUCUUCACAUGGUUGAAAGGUGUCUACUUGGAUCAAGAGAAUACCAUUUGGAAAAUCACACAGCAAAGAAUAGGAAAAAAUAGUGAAGGAUAAUUGACAGUAGUUGUUUUGUUUGAGAAGAGUUGAGCAUGUGAAGGAACUGUCAAUCAGCAUUUAGUCAUACAGUAUCUAUUUCUGUCCCUGUUCCUCCUAACACAGAGGGCUAUUAUAGUCUACAUUACGGCACAGGUACUUUGGAUACAGAUAUCCUUGAGGGGCAGGAUUUAUUAUGAAA